UAAAAACAAAUAGAAAAUAUAAACAGGGCACAGUAGCUCACACCUGGAAUCCUAGCACUUUGGAAGGCAGAGGCAGGUAGAGUUCAAGAUCAACCUGGGCAACAUAGUGAAACCCUGUCUCUACUAAAAAUACAAAAAUUAGCCAGGCAUGGUGGUGGGCACCUGCAAUCCCAGCUAUGUGUGAGUGUGUGAGGCUGAGAUGGGAGAAUCACUUGAAUCCGGGAGGCAGAGGUUGCAGUGAGCGGAGAUGGUGCCACUGCACUCCAGCCUGGGCAACAGAGUGAGACUCCUUCUCCGCCUAAAAAAAUAAAAAAAUAAAAUUAGCCAGGUAUCUUGGGGCAUGCCUGUAGUCCCAGCUACUUGGGAGGCUGAGGUGGGAGGAUUGCUUGAGCCUGGGAGAUCAAGGCUGCAGUGAGCUGUGAGCAUGUUAUGGCACUCCAGCCUGAGUGACAGAUUGAGACCCUGUCUCAAAAAAAAAAAAAAAAAAAGAAAGAAAGAAAAAGAAAAUGUUGAUCAGCAAAAGGAAGAAGUUACAGAUCACUCAUAAUCCCCCUGCCCCAAAAUUCAUGUUUUGUUACACGUCUUUAUUGGUUACCUAUUGCUGCAUAACAAAUUAUUCCCAAAAUGUAACAGCUUAAAAUAACACAUUUAUUAUCUCAAAACUUCUGUGGAUUGGGAAUCUGGGAGCACUCUUCUUGGUGCCUUUGGCUCAGGAUCACUCACAAGGCUGCAGUCAAGGUAUCCCCUGGGGCAGCCAUCGUCUCAAGCCUCCGCUGGAAGAGGGUGCAUGUCCAAGCUUGCCCAUGUGGCUGUGGGCAGGCCUCAAGUCUUCACUGGCUGUUGGCUGAAGGCAUCAAUUUCUUGCCAUGUGGGUCUCCCCACAGGGCAAUUCACAACAUGGCGACUGGCUUUCCUGAGAGCAAGCAAACAAGAGCAGGCAAGAAGGUGCCCAAACAGGCCACCCCCUUUUUGUAACUUAUUCAUAGAAGUGACAUCCCUUUAUCUUGUGCCCUGCUGAAUGCUUAGAGGCAGAGCCCCACCAACCAGGCCUGGCG
rnacentral:lncRNA from 1 species